rnacentral:rRNA from 1 species
UACGUAGGGGGCAAGCGUUGUCCGGAUUUAUUGGGCGUAAAGAGCGUGUAGGCGGCCAUUCAGGUCAGCUGUGAAAACUCGAGGCUCAACCUCGAGACGCCGGUGGAAACCAUCAGGCUAGAGUCCGGAAGAGGAGAGUGGAAUUCCUGGUGUAGCGGUGAAAUGCGCAGAUAUCAGGAAGAACACCCGUGGCUAAGGCGGCUCUCUAGUACGGUACUGACGCUGAGACGCGAAAGCGUGGGAGCGAACAGG